UUAGGAGGGAAACUAGCAACACAUGGUGAAAAACACCCUAUAGCUUUUAGCUAAUGUCUUUUAGAUCUCACCAUCUGUUCCCAUGAACUUCAAGCGAGAAGCAGGCACCAUUUUGAAGGCAGGCGCUUAAAAAAGCGCGAGCGUCGAGCCCUCGGUUCCUUGGACAGAACCCUGCUCCGGCGCCAGCUGAAAGGCCAGCACAGGAACUCCCGACCUCUCGAGCAAUUCUGCGUUUUCCAUACAGGCGAGCAGCACGGGGCCACCCGGCCCACCCCAGCUCCCCGCAGGAGGAGGCGAGAGCGGGUCGGGGGAGCCUGUGCGAGUCCCCGCCAGCCUCGUUGCCACCCAGCCCUUCAACCUACACGACAGAUAAAAUACAACACCAAAAGUCCCUGAAGGCUCUGCUGCAAAGAGAGAGCGAGCCACGCCGUUAGCUUUGGCAGGCAGCUUCUCCCAGGGCACGCCGCGGAGGGGGCAGCCCCGUUUUGGAGCAGCAGCAGCAGCCCUUUGCUGGGAAUUGUGCAGAAAGGCGGCUGAAACAUUAACCUGCGGCACGCUGCAGUGCUCCCCGUGGCACCUUUCCCAAAAGGAGAUUAAGGCGAGCAGCUGCUGAUAUGGAAACCAACUGUUUGAACUGCAGUGCACUUACAUAUGCUAAUAGCGCGGAGCUACUGACUCCUGCAAACGUGAUGCAGGAAAUGACUAAACAUUUAGUGCUUGUUAUUUAGCAGUAUUCCUGGAGACACGUAGGUGGUGUGGACAGCAUGGUAUGUGCAUUAAAGUGCAAUUUAGGUCAAUGAUUCUUUGAAAGGACCAUUCUUUCUUCUUCUUUUUUUUUUUUUUCCUUCUCCCUUCGGGAGAAGGGGUGUUCAAAAAUUAACUUUUCCAGCUAUCUUUUCCAACGUGUUACCGUCUGCUCAAAAUAAAAUAAAAAGGGGGGAAAGACUGUAGGAAUUACCCUGUGUUAAUGACAUUGAAGUGUCUCUGCAAUGCUGUUUUCAUUUCACCUUUUUUUUAAUGCUUAGAAAAGGAAUUUAAAAGAAGCUUUACAGGGCAGAGUGCAUGUUUAGAUAAAAACAGCAAGAUUAAAUGAGGUGUCUGAGUCUAACUUUCUAGCAGGUGAAGUGACAACCCCAAACGAAAGCCGAGCCCAGGGGGGUGGGGGGAAGGCACCGGUGCAGCUGCAGCACGCGGGGCUCUGCGGGACCCCCGUGCUCUGGGUGUGGAGAGCCUCCUGCCGCCCCCCAGCAGUGUGGGGAUCCCCUGGUAGGAAGCUGAAAGCUCCUUGUGCUCCCGAGGGACACAAGGACACCUGGAAGGCGAGGCAGCUGCAGAAGAGUGGUGAAGCUCUGUCCGCGGGGGCUCACCUGACACGAAGCAGAGCCCGCAGCUGCCUGAUUCCUCCCCAGCGCUGGGGAGCCCGAUGCUGCUUUCAAUGGGCCAGAGAAAUUCCAGCCUGGAGCUGGUGACAAGUCUCCAGCAGGGCUUGGGGGACCAGAGCUGGGCUUGCUGGGACAACGGACCCCUUUAGCAGAGGAGUCAUAAAGUCUUUUUGCUAAAGAAACAAAUAAAUUAUUGAUGGCGGCGCUGCUUCCUGCCAGAGCACCAGCAGGGAGAAACUCAUUCCUUUCAGACAGGAACGAGGCUGGGCAGAGCACUAGUUCUUCUCAGGCCACCUACUUUUUCCCCCCAAGGCCCAGCUAAACAAAGUCCCGAGGAAAGCUCGUUUGUAUCCAGUUAAUUACGCAUUCAGCAGUACAGCUUUCCAAUCUCCUCCUCACCCCCGCCCAAGCGAAGAGCGGUGUCCCUCACGGCAUCUGCGCUAGCCAGGGGGUCACAAAGCAUUCUGCGGGGCCGCUGGGGGAGUUCAAGUUAAUUAAAGAGGCACUAAAUUAAACGCACAGAGCCAGGGACAGAGCAAGAGAAAACAAUACCAAAAACGCUCGCCAGUGCUCACCCACGAGUUUGGGUACGAAGGCUGGCUUUGAGGGGGCAGUGAAGGCUGGCCGGGACGCCCGGGUCGCUCCGACGCCCUUCCGAGAGCUCCCCAGGUCCCGCGGCUGCCAAGUGGGCAGAGGGCAGGCGGGCAGGAGGCAGCACGGGGUAUCGGCUUCUCCACGGGCCAUCACCUCCAGCAGCCUCCUGCCCUGGGCUUGAACCUUUCCCUUCCUGACCCAGCAGGAUGCCGGGACCCGUUGAGUCACCGUGACAUUUAGCAGCGCAGGCUCGCUGGCCACUGCGGGCUGCCGCUGGACCGGGAGAGGCAUUACAACAAAAUUUAAGUCCAGAAAAGUUUUGAAAGCCUCUCUUACUUGCUUUUGCAAAUCUUUAAGCCUUUCACAAGUGCGUCCGAUGGGAGGAAGUAGCUGCGGGUGGCCCUGAGAUGCUAUUAGUGGUGGCCAGGCAGCGCUUGUCCGGCAGGUAACAUUUACGGGGAGAAUUUUUCAAAUCCUUGGGAAAUCUCAGACGAACUUGAGAUGUGUCUCUGGAGGGUAGGGAUGCACCUGUCUUUGUUCAUGCAGUCCGGAAGGGUCAGACCCAAACCAAACGGGUUACCCUUUUGCAUGAACCACAGAAACGUUUUCAUAAAGCUUCUGGUGGCACUGGGCAGCUGCGACAGGUCAGGUGCGAGUCUCACUGGAGACUCAAGAGGCACGAAAACCCAAAGUAAAAUGCAAGAGGGCUCAAAAUAACCCCUUUGAUUAUGCAGAACACUAUAUAUAACUGUCCUCAGUUUUCCAGUGUCAGAUAUUUUCUUCCCCUCGUUCCCCAGUUUGGGGUUGCUCCUGAUUUACGUCGCUCAUCUGAUGCUGGGACCAGGCACUGGCGACACCACGAGCCUCUCAACCACAGGCUUUCACUUUGGCCAAUUUUCAAGCAUUAACUGCCUUUCAAGACUGUUCAUUCUCAGGUAUAAAGCCUUUUUUCUUUCUUUCUUUUUUUUUUUUUCCCUAAGGGAGUUGAUAUGGCAAUGCUUUCAGGCCUGCUGCCAGGGAAGGAGUGUCCCUGUUGCUCCUUCAUUGCCAUGACAGCUAUUGGGACCUUUGCUGCAUCUCAGUAACUUGGCUCCGGUUCCUGAGGCUGAACAACCUUUCCAAAUGCAGGGAAUUCCCUUUGGAUAAAGGAGGAGGGACAGUCACAGGAAAGCUCUGACUACCAUUCCUCAAAUGUAUUUCUUCAUGCCCUUCCAGGCAGCCGCAAACAACACUGAGGUCAGCCGGCACCUCGGUGCUGACUCCAGCAGGCUUUGAAUCAGCCCAGGAUCCAAAGGUUAAUUAAGCCUCCGGCAGCGCCAGAUUUCCAACGCGGAUGCAGAAAUCACAAUGCACUGAAAGCAAGAUGCAGGAGAUCUUCACUUGUUUUCCCCUCUUACCCACUUAAGGGCCUUACACGGUGAAAAACACGUAACUGGAGAAAAGAAGUGCAAAUACUGAGUAUCAUUGAAGUUUAAGCAGCUCAUAGAAAUGCAGUUAGGAAAAAGAGCUCUUAUACUUCUACUCCCCUUAGCAAUUGCUAACAGCUUCUCCCUUCUCUACAGAGUCCCUCCUUGCUGCAGCUCCUUGCCUGGGUUCCUUGAUUAGAGGAGCAGGACUGCUCUCUCAUUUGCUCUAUCACCACCCUGACAUUUCCUGAGUCACCGCUCAGUAUCUUGCCUGUCAGUGCCAUAUACUUUUCACUCCAGACACUCUCUCUGGAGCAUUUAUUACUCAGAGACAUAAUUACUUAGUGCUUUCUUAAUCAGUCCCAAAUGCAAGACAUCAGCCGCAGAAGACAUCUAAGAGUUCAGCUUCUUUAAGACCCCAAAGCGUGAAGACAGAUAACGUCUUUUCCCAGGAAAACUCGAUGGAAAAUCAUAGCUAUGCUACUUAACAUUUCUGCCACGAAGCCACCACACGUCCCCACUGUAAGCCGGAAUGACUUUGCUUUAACAACGCCGUUGCCCUUUUGUAAGGCAUGAGCUGAAGACUGCGCGCUUGGGUUGGCGAUCGGGGAAGGUGCGAUGUGGACAUGGAGCCCAGGCACAUCCCGAUAACUACGCUUGACCACAUUACUAAGCAACAUGCACCCCACGUUUUCCAUACCCCGUUCAACAUUUCAUACACAGAUCUUUGCUUUCAUCUAAAAAACAUGGGUGGGAUUUGUUUGUAAUGGGUGGAAAGCUGUGUGAAAGCCAAGCGGGCAACCACAAGCGUUAGAAACUGGCAGAAAGGGCAACAGCCGUUACGAUGCAAAAGUACGUAUUUGCUUGAAGACUCUGGCUAGAAAACCAUUAGAGAAAUCCAGACUGAUUCAGGUAGUGCAGCCUCCCCAGAUGACUUCCGACAGCGUAAUGCCAGCUUCCCUGCAGCAGCCCGGGCCCAGGCGACGUGUCAGCCCCAGGCAGCCGCUCGCACGCGGGUGACAAACGCUGGGGGUCACUGGGACCACGGUGCUGGGGCUGCGCGGGUUCUUCCUUCACCCAUUAAAAAUGCACCUCUGUGCUGCUUUGAAGAGAAAUUUCCUUGAUAUCAUUAGAUAGAUUGCUCUUUAAUCAAAGUAUUGCAGCUAAGUAAGUUAUUAAACUGUAGCAUCAACAGCUGAAUCACAGCUGCUGACCAAGCAGCUCGUGCCAGACAGGCCGUGUCCCUGCGGUGCCUGGGAAGCCCCGGGGAGGCCAGCGAACCGGGCACCACGCCGGGAAAACAAGGCAGGGUGUCCGGGGCUCAAACCUGCACCGCAAAAUCCACCUGCCUUGAAGGAAUAAGCGAAAACUUGGAUGGGGCUGUGAGAAACCUGAUUUAGUGAAAGAUGUCCCUGCCCACCGCAGGGGGGGUGGACUAGAUGACCUUCCCUUCCAACCCAAACCGUCCUACGGCUUUAUGUGAGCAUUGGCUUUGAGUGAAAUCUGCUUCAGAGCGAUUUGUUUUGUUGUACUGACAGCAGGAUGAGCUCAAAGCCUGACACGUGGGCACUGGCAGCAACAGCACUGCGAGCAGGACCACGGGGUGGCCGGGGAGGGAGGUCACACCACACCUGUGCUGUACUCCCAGGACACCCUCGUUCAGGGGAUGACCCAGGUGCCACCUGGCUGGAGUUGGGGGAAUUUGACUGCUGCUUUUUGGAGGGCGCUAGCCUAUUUUUUCCCCAGCACCUCUAACAAGAUCUCUUUUCACCAUAAUGUCUGCAAGCCCACUUACCUGGCCAGUAGCUAAUGUCUGAGCAUGUUGCUCAACCAGACCACGGGCAGCGUUUCCCUGCUCUCGUCUCCCUGCUCCUUCUCAGUCCCACACUGGCCUUUUCCCCCCCUCGCAUUAACUUCAGACUCUCUCCCUCAGCCUGUGAUUACAGCAUAGGAACCCCCAGCAAUGCAACGAUCCCUUUGGGCUCUCCAGCUUGAGAAGCUGGCUGCCCACACUGGAUUUAUUUGGUGUUUGUUUAUUUAAUGGCCCAGUUAGGAAACUCAGGGAGUGGGGUAAUGGAGGAGAUGCACACACAGCACAGUGAGGCCUGGCUAAAGUGCCUGGGAGCUCUCCAGCCUACACCGGUGCAGCAUCAGGCCACGCUGCUUCCGGACCAUCCACAAGGAAGACGUGGGAAUAUCGCUCCCCAUCCGCCCUGAGCAAACCAGCCCCUUUCGUGGGGGUGGCACCGAGCUGAGCCGCGUGGCUCACGGCUCAGUUUCUCCGUAGGAGUGCACGCCACAGGCUGCAGCCCUCAGGAGCGAGCUUUGCCUCCCCGAUUUCCAUCUGCCUCCUUCCUGCAGCAUCAGGGAUGCCAGCCCAACAUCUGCAACCUUUGUAAACCCGUCCGUGGUUAAUCACGUCAAACUCACAGACGUUGCUGGUGCAGGCUGUCCUGCUCCUCCACCUUCUAUCCCUUCUACCAGAACAAACUGCGUGCAGAUGAUGUAGGAAGCAACUAUGCCAUUUCUCUGAGUUUUAUGUAAACAGAAAACUCUCCUGUGGGACUCCCUGGCUGUUUUAGUUUUGCAUUACAUCACGUACAGCGGCACGAUCAGCACAGAAGAACACAGAACCUGGCCCACAGCAAGUACAUAUGAAAAGCAGACACAAAGGAGAGCCUCUCUGUCAACCUUCCCUGCUUAGCUUUCAGAUCAUGGCAGGGCAGGCAUAGCCAGAGACACAUUUCUCUUCUAGCCACCAGACAGCAUUAAAGAAAUGACAAAGCAAAGCACCCGGCUCCCAGCACACCAGCGCGCUUCCUGCUCCCAUCUCCAAGGCCAGGACUUACUUUUAUGUUAUUUGGAAAUCUUCUUCCAGCUCCAAACCAAGACUUGAGAUUAUUAGAGGGAGUAAUGCUUGUCAGAGCAGAAUGCAAAUUUAAAACACUUGUCCCAAAUAACAGGAGGUAGUAAUUAGGCUCCAGCACUUCCUCCUGCACCCUUUCCUGCACUUCUGCAGUGAUGUAGGACAUGUACCACCAACCUGCUGGUAACACGCAGGCUGUGAGGGCCUUGGCUUUCUCCAUUUCACAGACCAGUUCCUCUCUUCCCGUUUCCUUCCUUCACUCUACCCUCUCGUUUAUGAUCUUUGUUUCCUGCACGUUCCUUUUAUUUUUAUUUUUUAUUUUGCCUUUCUUCUUGUUGCUGUCCCUUAUUCUGGUCCCCACUUUUUCUUUUCUUAAAGAACCUCUUUCCUUCAACAGUUCUUCUCUCCCUUGCUCUCUUUGCUGCUGUCUCCUCACAGUUAGCCAGUGUCUCCUUUCUCUUUGCUCAGGUUUCCUGCAAGGCCACUUGCGUUCUUUCUCAGUCACAUCAAACAGGCAACUUCAGUGCAGCAGCACCCAGGGAGACACCCCAGCCAGCUGGCUGGCAUCAAAGCCUCCUGCCACUCCAUUCACAAAAUCCCACUGAGCAAUUCUUCUGCAAAGUAGCCACAGAAACCCCAGCCCGAGUGGUGUGCAGGACUUUCCAGCAGAAGGUCUUGGCCGGGUUCAUGUCCAGUGGGACCAUCUGCCAGGAUAGACGUCUGGUGGUCCUGCAGCCACACACCACAGACAUGAGCCUUGCUGCUGUGGCUCCUGAGCUAGGGCAAUGCUCAUCCUGCACUGGGGAUGUAUUAUUUGCAGCAUCUAGUGCAUGAGGGGUUGUCAUCGAGGCCAGAAAGGCCUGAAGAUGCAAUAAAUGACAUAAGCGACCACCCUUGUGCAUCCCGAAUGCGCAGGGUCCCUGCACGGCUGCAGGGCGAGGGCUGUGCUGCAAGAGCAGAAAGCCAGGGGAGAAACAGCCGGGCACAACCGGCUGCCCCCAUAGCGUCUGUGCCCUUGGAGAGAAGCAGAAAGUUAAAGAAGACGAGUCUUUAUGUGGCUUUUAGAAAGUAGAUAUGUUAGUUAUAAUCUGAUUAAAAUUCCUUACAAAUAUUCUGUAAAGUUAGCUCUGGAAUCAAUGAAUGGUCACGCAUCCCCCUAAGCACAGGAUUUAUGUUUAAGAAACUCUGUCAUUAUGGUAAACCUACAGAGAGCGUGUCCAAUCGGCUAAACAGGAGCAGCAAACACCCGGGUUUAGGCUCCUCCAAGGAGCCUGUGGUUCACUUUGUUUGUCCCGGCUGCCAUUUCAACAGGCCCGAACUGAAAUCCCAAGUGAAAUAAGCCAAUUUAGAAACAGACAGUGCUUUCGAAAAGGCAGUUAGAAGGAAAACAAGUGUUGUUUCAGGUAGCACGUUUCCACUCUCACAUUGUUUAGGCCUCCCAACCAGCUGAGGCCGAUUCUGGCACCACAGGGCCGCACAGCCCGGGCCAUGCACCCGGCAGCGCCCAGAGCUGCUCCCGGCCGGCCAGAAACGCUGCCAAAGAUGUGCCCAGUGCCGGAAUUUUCAUAUUUUCUGAUUCCUCUGUGGCUGUGCGGACUCCAGGCUGCACUUACAGCCACGGUGACGGCCGGGCAGCGGCUUUGUUUCGGGCCGAGAGCGGAGCUCCCCGGUAAUCCCAGAGCUCUGGGAGCCAAGGGCCUCGGGAAGGAGCCGAGGCACGUGCGUGCUCCAUGGGCCACGCUGCCGUGAGAGGGGACGAGGAGCCGUGCCAGGGCCCUGCUGCAGCCACCACAGCUGGGCUGCUCGUCUGCUUCCUUCCUGCCCUCCCGGCAGCGCCGUGCCCGGCCCGCGGCCUGCGUUGGCCGGGGCUGCUCCUGUCAGCGCGGCGGGAGGCAGCGGGUCGCCUCGCUCCUCCGUGCUGGAGAUGCAGAACAAAGCUUUUUGGCAGGAAAAGGAAGCGGCUCUCCCCUGCAUCACUGUUCUGGGGCUGGCAAUCCCCUCCCUCCUCCGCCGGGGCUGAUCUCACAUCCUUCCAGUCCCUUCCCAAGGCUGCGGGACUGCCGGCUCACAGCCCCCGUGGUGCGGUUCCCCUCGCCCAGCCUCCCCGCUGCCACAUAACUUCUCCCCGCGGCACCCUGCCCGACCCGUGUGCAAAUCGUGCGAGCGUCGGAUCAUGUUUUGCCUGCCUCGGAAAGCAUCCGGCACGCUCGCCGAUGCACUGAAACCCCAGACAAACAAACAGCAGUUGUGCAAGGGUGCAGGGCAGACAUCUCCGGCAGGAAACGAAGCGCAGGACUUGCUCUAUUUUAAUCCCACCAAGGGUCUUCUUGGAAGCGAGGCAGAGCCCGGCUGCGCAGAGUUAAGAAUGAAACCCUAUUUUUAGCCUGUCCCCGGUGAGGUAAGAGCGCGUGAGUCAGCCCCGGCGUGGGACGUUGCAUAACGCGGGGCCCUGCGCUGCCGGCGCACGGGGGUGAGAGGAGGAUGGAGGAUGGAGGGAGCCGUCCUGCUCCCUUUCCUGGCAUUGUCACUGCAGACAGACCCUUCCCGUUAUUUAAAUGCGGGGUUCUUCUUUGCACCCUCCUCCCCCCCCCCAAAGAAAAAAAAAAAUUUAAUUAGAAUCAGCGGCAGGCUGGUUAUGUAAUGUGAUUAAUUGCAGCAUUAGAGUGAAAAAAUAUAGGGCAUACAGGUCUUAAAGAUUCACAUGCAAAGUCAUGUGUGGGAGUGAGAGAGACAAGGGUGAAACACGAGACUUAUCUUAUACUUCUCAUGGGGCAGUGAUUUAUUCCCUGAAUAAUUUAAUCAGAGCAAUCUGCCAAUAGCUGAGGGAAAAAAAGAAAAAAGAAAAGAAAAGAAAAGAAAAGAAAAGAAAAGAAAAGAAAAGAAAAGAAAAGAAAAGAAAAGAAAAGAAAAGAAAAGAAAAGAAAAGAAAAGAAAAGAAAAGAAAAGAAAAAAGAAAAGAAAAAAGAAAAAAAAGCGCAAACAAACAUCCAGAAGACACGGGAACAAAACUGCUUUCACAGCAUCUCUAAAGGUUAGGGCUGCACCUUGCAAACAGGAUGUUGCCCUCACCAGCAGAGCUGCCCCUCAGCAGCACUAACUCACUCCAGUAAAAGUGAGCUUUUCCAUUGAGUCAUGAUUAAUGAACUGCAGACACAUGCUGACUGCGAGAGCUGCAGCUAACUUUCACUGUGCUGGAACUUUAUCUGGGAGAGUAUCUGAAGCUUCAGGACUUUUUCUCUUCCUGUCUUUUGUAAACCUAUCGCCAGGAAAGAACCAAAGCCCAGCUCAGCGUGGGCUCCUGCCGGUGACCUCCAAGCUCUCCAGACGGAUGGGUAUGGCUUUGUAAAUAGUGCGCUCCCCACGGCUGUUGAUUAAAUUCAACCCAGCUCAAUAACGGCAACCAGCCGCUGAUGUACCUGGUUGCUCAAGUGUCCUGUAUGGAGACAGGCUCAGUGAAGGCAAGUCUUCAUUGCAAAACAGCAUCUGAGUCUGAGAGCGAGCAGCCUCGCUGCAAAACUGAACUCAGAGGGAUGGAGUGAGAGUCACGGAGACUUCAGGAGGCUUGUCUGCAGGUAUUCUAACAUCGCAGGUUUUCAGAGUGAAAGGACUGUUGUUAAUAUUCAUGCAAGGGAAGAUGAAAUGGCACUGGAGAAGGCAGCGCAUGGCAGGGUACCAAGGAAGUCCCAGCAUGUUCUAUUCUGUGCUCUCAGCGGAGAGAGGAAGGCUCACAGCCCAAGUAUAGUUGCUGCGUGCUAUAGAUUGUGCUCCAAGACUGUAUUCUUGCCAGCUGCCCCUAAACUCAAAUCGAAGGCUCUAGUAUGAAGAAGUGUUAAUUUAAGGCAGCCUCUGCCUAAGUGCCUGGGCUCUCCCUGAAGUGAAGGCUCUCCACCCAGUGAGCCCAGUCAGGCUCAGAUAAGCUUCGCUGCUGGCAACCUUAGCUGUAAAGCCAUGGUCUGAAACAGAGAAGCUUCCAGAGUCAAUCCCUCCUGAAUGAAAACUUCAUUUGCUACUGCCUUGCCAUUCCCUUGCAAGGACUUCAGAGGCCCCUGUGUCUGGAUUUGUCAAGCAUCAAAAUGCCAAGAUAAAUUUAAAAGCAGCUUCAAAGUUACCUUGAGUUCAUAUCUUGUCUGACUGCUUUACUGAUAAGAAAAACACUAAGUGAUUCCCAUCAGGAAAACAGAUUUCAGGUGUCUUCUAGGGCAGGCCUGGUGCCGACUGCAUCAGGGGUUAAAAGUGGAAAGGUGCCGCAUGGUGAUAACAGCAGAAGUACCCUCCCAAGAGGCUUCCAGUCUGCCUGGAGAUGUAAUGUGAAGGCGAGUGAACCGGCUAAGAGGUCUCAAGCCAUUAGAUCAGUUUGUACUUCCCCAUAGCAUUGCAAUAUUCCUCAGCUGCUUUUAUGUAUUUCUAAAGCUUUCCUCACCUCUGCACAUGAUAGCUGAGCAUGAAGCACAUCCAUCAAUUUAGCAUUUGACUUCAUCUAUCUCAGUGCAUCCAUCACGUGUCACUUGAGCAUGCUUUCUUCCCUAUGCAGAGCCUAUUUGUAGCCUGUUAUCAGGCCAGAUCCUGAAGAUGCUCUGCAGUGAAACUUUCACUGGAACCAUCUUCCACUGGAAACAUUUUUCUUCUCCUAGAAACUGGCCAAAGAAAAACUGCUGAGAUAUAUCUAAGUGCACAGUGAGAUUUCUCUUGAAGAAAUCAAGAUCAAAGCUCAUACAAUUAAGGACAAGCUAAAAGCAAGGGCACCUUUACUAAAGCUCAUUAAAAAUAUCCUUUGUACCUAUCUCCUGCAUGGCACCCAAAGUCUCAUGAAUACAGUGGUCUAAUGAGAAUGCAGUGGUUGUUUUUUUUUUUCCCUCCAGUAUUUUUCUCUUCCAUACUUAGCAAAUGUCAUAGUUUAAUUAGGGGAUGUCAAAGGCACAGAGAGCUGCCCCGAGAUAAUCGUCGCCUGCUGCUAUAUAAAUGCUGAGGUGAAGACAAGUGAGAAGGGCUAUCAUGUAAACGGUAAAUUAUGGAGAGAGGGCAAAGUUCAGAACUGGAACUGACAAAACUUUUAUUUAUAGAGGUGGGCUGCUUUUGCUGGCCUUUGCAAAUGGCCUCCGCCAUCCUCGGUCCCCUUCGAGCGCUCCCGAGCUCGCUGCCAUCUCUCACGCCGUUUCUCACUCCUGUGGCUGUGCAGGGAGGUUCGCUCCUGGGUGUCUCAAGGCGUCCUGCGGGCAGUGUCUUCAGCAUCUUCCACUUCCUUCAGGACCUUGCUGACAGCCUGUAAUUUAGCCUUUAUAAACAUGCAUGUGGGUGCUUCUCUAUUUAUUAGUAUUUACCAAAGCCCUUCCAAUCUUAGACCCUUCAUUUAACAACCUUUCAUGAUUCUCACUAGAUUUUCUUUUCCUGAAAAACAACCUAACCCCAAGCCACACAGCUGCCUGCCUCCCUCUCCUGGUGUCUGUGCUUGCUUUCAGAGAGAGCUUGUCUCCUCCUCCUUUCCCUUUUCCUACAUUGGCCAAUAUUGAUCUGAUCAUUCCAGGUGCAGUUUGUGCUAACGGUUUCUUUAUGCUCCGUUUUCUGAUAAAUCCACAACCCACAAACUGUCCAUUUUUUUGCUUGUCAUCCUUGUCUGGGGUCUCAAGAAUUCGUUUAGUUCAGAGGUUACUUCUCAGAGUGUUUUACAAGAGGUGUAGUCCGCGCUUUAUUUCACCGAGUACUCCUAAUUCUCAGCAGCUGCGCGGAGGUGACUGAACAACACCCAGUGAGUUCCUGGUCUCUUCAAAAUUAUCUCCAAAUUAAUCUGAAAGUGCAAUAUUCCCAGAGAUGUGUUUCCUUUCAAUGGAAAUGAUGCCCCCAGACUAGCUUGCUGGUAGCUUUCCCCACAGCAUUCCGUCAACGUGUGACUCUGGCAGACAGCAGGAGGGGGCUCAGCUCCGGCCGCAAUCCCUGUUCCCGACGAGUGGAGCACCAGCCAUGCAGAAAUGAAAGAAAACAUCUCUGUGGGACCGUGACACCUCCUACAACCUCCCUGCUAUGUGGCAGACAACUGCAGACAUGGGCUACAGCAUUUCCAGACUCCCCAGGUCAAGCCAGAGGGAUAAGUUUUCUUUGAUCGUGACUGACUUCUCCCUGCAUUGUUAAGAAACAGCUGUAUUUUGGCGGGCCUUGAUGAAUACUUUAUCAGACCCACUGGUGGGGUUCUUCAAGGGGAACCUCCACACAGAGGUCCCUGGGGUGAAUGGCUCAUAAUGUAAAUAAUUGUAAAAACAAAAAGGAGCCAAAUUAACUCCUUCACACAGAAAAACAGCACAAGUCUUCCGAGCCAGGAAACAAACAAACAAAAAGGAUUUCUGAGGUGUUCCUCUAGAAAACUAUCUAUCAUUUCAUUAGCAUGAAACGAGCUUCAUAAAAUAUUCUGUAGUUUUACCCAUAACUUCUGAUAAAAUUAAACCCCCACACUGCUCAAUUGCACUUACUAACAAGCCACUUGUCUAUCGGGUUCAUUUUGUUGUGCUAGGCACGCCAGUAGGAAAGGGCACGCAAUUCUUAAUCAGACCUGGGAUACUCUCCACGACGCAGACUUUUGAAGGGCACAACGUCACCCCAACAAGCCACAUCCAUCACAGCUGCCCACAGAGAAGAGGGGGCUAUAUCUCCUUCUAUCCAAACGUAUGCUGUGUAGGAAUUCAUCUCCUCCACCAAACCGCAGCUCCUAUGUAUUUGCAGAGCUGCCUGCUGGAGCUGACCUGGAGGACCUCCUGCCAGGCAGCGAGAGGCACCGCGCAUCCAUCCGACAGCCGAGCAGAGCACACACGUGCACACCGACAUCCUUGCUGUCUGUAGCUCCUGACAGGCAUUUGAGUGACCCCCAGAAGAAUGAAACCUAGCCUCUGGGAGCCUGCUACUUGUGUGCGCUCGGCUCCUGAGAAGGCACAAGGACCGACGGAAUGUGUAACAUUGCUUAUUCCUUCACACCUACGGCAGUUGUAGCUCUGCUCUUUUCUCUCUAUAUUUUAUCACACUGUAACGCCACAGUUUUGUCUGCUUUUUGCCUGGUCUCAGCCCAGAGUUUCUUGCAGAGCACAGAAAUAUGGGCAGAGAUCACAGACGUACAGACAGGGAUCACAGACGCGUUGCUUCUGCAGCAGAAGCAUUUUCAAGUGGACUCUGAACUCGCUGCUCACUGUCACGCCAUCUGGGUCGUUCCUCGGAUGGCGCCCGUCAUUAGGACCUCUGAGGUCACAGAAAGCACCUAGAACUUUCCUUCCGGACACUUAUCUCAAUAACCAGCGCACAUCUUCGGCCCGCCGCCCUGCACUUAGAGUUUCCAGGAAUAUUCCAGGCAGAUUGGUACACCUGUUAUAAAGGUUGCCCAAUACUUUCCAUAGUAAUAAUAAUAAUAAUAAAAUCCCA